rnacentral:rRNA from 1 species
AUUGAACGCUGGCGGCAUGCCUUACACAUGCAAGUCGAACGGCAGCACGGGAGCAAUCCUGGUGGCGAGUGGCGAACGGGUGAGUAAUAUAUCGGAACGUGCCCAGUCGUGGGGGAUAACUACUCGAAAGAGUAGCUAAUACCGCAUACGAUCUACGGAUGAAAGCGGGGGAUCUUCGGACCUCGCGCGAUUGGAGCGGCCGAUAUCAGAUUAGGUAGUUGGUAGGGUAAAAGCCUACCAAGCCUGCGAUCUGUAGCCGGUCUGAGAGGACGACCAGCCACGCUGGAACUGAGACACGGUCCAGGCUCCUACGGGAGGCAGCAGUGGGGAAUGUUGGACAAUGAGCGCAAGCCUGAUCCAGCAAUGCCGCGUGCAUGACGAAGGCCUUCGGGUUGUAAACUGCUUUUGUACGGAGCGAAAAGGUCUCUACUAAUACUAGGGGCUCAUGACGGUACCGUAAGAAUAAGCACCGGCUAACUACGUGCCAGCAGCCGCAGUAA